rnacentral:rRNA from 1 species
AUGGUUAAAGAUGUCCUGGUAGAAAAUAUUGAUGGGCAUGUUAUUUACUUCUGUGAUGAAGCCGCUAGAAUUGGCAAACCUGAUGAAAAGGAUAAACAUAGACCGGUUGUUGGCAUGCCCGUUGUCUCGGUCAAAAUAGGAGAUCAUUGUUAUCAUGGUUUAUGUGAUUUAGGUGCUAGCAUAAGUGCUAUUCCAUUUACCUUAUAUCAAGAAAUUAUGGAUGACAUAGCACCCGCUGAAAUAGAAGACAUAGAUGUUACUAUUAAACUUGCUAAUAGAGAUACCAUUGCACCACUUGGGAUUGCUAGAGAUGUUGAAGUCUUGUGCGGGAAAACUAAAUAUCCUACUGACUUUCUAGUUCUUGGUUCCCCACAAGAUGACUUUUGUCCCAUUAUCUUUGACAGACCUUUCUUGAACACUGUCAAUGCUACUACUAUAGAUUGUCAUAAACAAACUGUCAGUGUUAGCUUUUGGUGA